UGGGGAAUAUUGGACAAUGGGCGAAAGCCUGAUCCAGCAAUACCGCGUGAAUGAUGAAGGCCUUAGGGUUGUAAAGUUCUUUUAGUAGGGAAGAUAAUGACGGUACCUACAGAAAAAGCCCCGGCUAACUCCGUGCCAGCAGCCGCGGUAAGACGGAGGGGGCUAGCGUUGUUCGGAAUUACUGGGCGUAAAGAGCGCGUAGGCGGAUUAGUAAGUUGGGAGUGAAAUCCCGGGGCUUAACCUCGGAACUGCUUCCAAAACUGCUAGUCUAGAGUAUAGUAGGGGGUGAUGGAAUUUCUAGUGUAGAGGUGAAAUUCUUAGAUAUUAGAAGGAACACCGAUGGCGAAGGCAUUCACCUGGGCUAUAACUGACGCUGAUGCGCGAAAGCGUGGGGAGCAAA
rnacentral:rRNA from 1 species